rnacentral:lncRNA from 1 species
AUGGGUCCCCACUGGGUGUGGGUGGUCAGCGGGCGGGCAUCUCUGCAGACCCCAGGGGAGGGACUGGAAGCCCAGGUGAGCCCCAUCCCGCCAGAGGAAGCCAUGGUCCAUGACGCCCGUGGAGUGGGCAGUGCCAGGAUGGAGCGGGAGAUGCCAGACCCGGGACUAGGACAGGUUUUGAAAGGGGCGGGCUGGGCAGGGUUUGGGCAGGCGCAGCGGGAGUGUGUCCGGGCAAAGCAUGUGCACCUGUGGGGAAGCCAAGUCUCCCCAGCUUCCUUCUUCCCUCCCCCCUCCUCCUCUCCCGUCCCCUCUGUCCUCCCUCUCCCUACCUCCUUCCCCUUCACACCUGUCCUGUCCCUCCUCCCUCCCUCCCCCUUCCUUCCCUCCUCCCUCCCUUCCUCCCCUCCUUCCUCCUCCUCUCUGCCUCCCCUCAUAGCUCCUUCACACCCGCUCCCUCCCUCCCUCCCUCCCUCCCUCCCUCCACAAGUGACCCCCUGUGCCCGCAUCCUUGCUCCCCCAGGGCUGGCUGUGUGGGUUAGCAGAUGCUCCCAGCAAUGCCUGUGCCCUUUACAGCAUGAGAAUUCUGUGACCGUGGUGGGUCCAGCUGUCACCGAGAGAGGGAGAGUCUGGUGGAGACAGCCUGGAAUGGCCCCGGACACCUCCGCUGGGCAGGGGGGCUCGGUACCCACCUUGCUCCGGGGACACAGGAGCACCCCUGCCCAGCAGCCAGGCGGGAGGGCAAGUGGGGGUCUUCCGGGGUCGAGGGCUGGAGGUCACAGGCACGUCCCGAGCUCUUGGAGCGGCCCGGCCGCCCCUUGUGCCAGGAUGGACAGGGUCACCUCCCCGAGACCCUGUUGGGGACCCCGCCGCUGGGGCCGUGCCCUCCAGGAUGGGCAGCCCCAGGCCCUAGCCUGGCUGACGGUGGCCUCAGAGGGAUUCUCGGGGCACCUCUGUCCUCACCAAGGGCUCUUUAGAGAGGAAAAAAGAACACAUUUCAACACCUCCAGAUUCUGA